CCUACGGGAGGCUGCAGUAGGGAAUAUUGCUCAAUGGGGGAAACCCUGAUGCAGCAACGCCGCGUGGAGGAUGACGGUUUUCGGAUUGUAAACUCCUUUUGUUGGAGACGAUAAUGACCUAAUCUAAAAAAUACGCACCUGCUAACUCCGUGCCAGCAGCCGCGGUAAUACGGAGGGUGCAAGCGUUACUCGGAAUCACUGGGCGUAAAGAGUGCGGAGGCGGGAUAGCAAGUCAGAUGUGAAAUCCUCUGGCUUAACCAGAGAACUGCAUUUGAAACUGCUAGUCUAGAGUAUGUGAGAGGUAGGUGGAAUUCCAGGUGUAGGGAUAAAAUGCGUAGAGAUGAAGAGGAACACUGAUGGCGAAGGCGACCUGCUGGAACGUAACUGACGCUGAUGCGCGAAAGCGUGGGGAGCAAACAGGAUUAGAUACCCGUGUAGUC
rnacentral:rRNA from 1 species